rnacentral:rRNA from 1 species
AGAGUUUGAUCCUGGCUCAGAUUGAACGCUGGCGGCAUGCCUUACACAUGCAAGUCGAACGGUAACAGGUCUUCGGAUGCUGACGAGUGGCGAACGGGUGAGUAACACGUCGGAACGUGCCCGAUCGUGGGGGAUAACGGAGCGAAAGCUUUACUAAUACCGCAUACGAUCUACGGAUGAAAGCAGGGGACCCUUGGGCCUUGCGCGGACGGAGCGGCCGAUGGCAGAUUAGGUAGUUGGUGGGAUAAAAGCUUACCAAGCCGACGAUCUGUAGCUGGUCUGAGAGGACGACCAGCCACACUGGGACUGAGACACGGCCCAGACUCCUACGGGAGGCAGCAGUGGGGAAUUUUGGACAAUGGGCGCAAGCCUGAUCCAGCCAUGCCGCGUGCAGGAUGAAGGCCUUCGGGUUGUAAACUGCUUUUGUACGGAACGAAAAGACUCCUUCAAAUAAAGGGGGUUCAUGACGGUACCGUAAGAAUAAGCACCGGCUAACUACGUGCCAGCAGCCGCGGUAAUACGUAGGGUGCAAGCGUUAAUCGGAAUUACUGGGCGUAAAGCGUGCGCAGGCGGUUAUAUAAGACAGAUGUGAAAUCCCCGGGCUCAACCUGGGAACUGCAUUUGUGACUGCAUAGCUGGUGUACGGCAGAGGGGGAUGGAAUUCCGCGUGUAGCAGUGAAAUGCGUAGAUAUGCGGAGGAACACCGAUGGCGAAGGAAUCCCCUGGGCC